UACGUAGGGGGCAAGCGUUGUCCGGAAUCAUUGGGCGUAAAGAGCGUGUAGGCGGCUCGAUAAGUCGGCUGUGAAAGUCCAGGGCUCAACCCUGGAAGGCCGGUGGAAACUGUCGGGCUAGAGUCCGGAAGAGGCGAGUGGAAUUCCCGGUGUAGCGGUGAAAUGCGCAGAUAUCGGGAGGAACACCAAUGGCGAAGGCAGCUCGCUGGGACGGUACUGACGCUGAGACGCGAAAGCGUGGGGAGCAAACAGG
rnacentral:rRNA from 1 species